CCGCGUCUCCCGGCGGGGCCGGGGCCGGGGCCGGGGGCGGCACUUCUGCCGAUUCCGAGCUCGACGGCGGCGGCGGCGCUCUUGGCGCUCGCAGCUGCAACGCAGCAGGCAGCACAGGCACCGGAGCCGUAGUGGGCAGCACUGCGGCUGCGGCGGCUUCUCCCAGGAAUGACACCGGUAGUCCUGGGGUGGGUGGAGGCGAGGCUGCUGCUGCCGCCGGAGCAGUGGUGGGCGUGACAGUGAAAGUGCACAAAUUAACAUAACGGACAUGGGACUACCUGAAGUAAAUCAGAUGUUGCAACACCUUCCUCAAGCAUUGAAUCUUCUGAUUUUGUUUAAAAUGAUAAUUCUUCAUGUGUCUUUGAUAGCCAGACUGGAAUAGUGCUGCCACUAUGAAAAUAAAUUCUGUUUUGCUCA